CCUACGGGAGGCAGCAGUAGGGAAUCUUCGGCAAUGGGGGCAACCCUGACCGAGCAACGCCGCGUGAGUGAAGAAGGUUUUCGGAUCGUAAAGCUCUGUUGUAAGUCAAGAACGAGUGUGAGAGUGGAAAGUUCACACUGUGACGGUAGCUUACCAGAAAGGGACGGCUAACUACGUGCCAGCAGCCGCGGUAAUACGUAGGUCCCGAGCGUUGUCCGGAUUUAUUGGGCGUAAAGCGAGCGCAGGCGGUUUGAUAAGUCUGAAGUUAAAGGCUGUGGCUCAACCAUAGUUCGCUUUGGAAACUGUCAAACUUGAGUGCAGAAGGGGAGAGUGGAAUUCCAUGUGUAGCGGUGAAAUGCGUAGAUAUAUGGAGGAACACCGGUGGCGAAAGCGGCUCUCUGGUCUGUAACUGACGCUGAGGCUCGAAAGCGUGGGGAGCGAACAGGAUUAGAUACCCUUGUAGUC
rnacentral:rRNA from 1 species